UGCAAGUCGUGGGGCAGCAGGUUUGUAGCAAUACAGAUGCUGGCGACCGGCAAACGGGUGCGGAACACGUACAGAACCUUCCUUCGAGCGGGGAAUAGCCCAGAGAAAUUUGGAUUAAUACCCCAUAGCAUAUUGAAGAGGCAUCUCUUUAAUAUUAAAGAUUUAUCACUUGAAGAUGGCUGUGCGGCUGAUUAGAUAGUUGGCGGGGUAACGGCCCACCAAGUCUACGAUCAGUAACUGGUGUGAGAGCACGACCAGUCACACGGGCACUGAGACACGGGCCCGACUCCUACGGGAGGCAGCAGUAAGGAAUAUUGGUCAAUGGACGCAAGUCUGAACCAGCCAUGCCGCGUGAAGGAUGAAGGCCCUCUGGGUUGUAAACUUCUUUUAUCUGGGACGAAAAAGGGACUUUCUAGUUCAACUGACGGUACCAGAGGAAUAAGCACCGGCUAACUCCGUGCCAGCAGCCGCGGUAAUACGGAGGGUGCAAGCGUUAUCCGGAUUCACUGGGUUUAAAGGGUGCGUAGGUGGGUUGGUAAGUCAGUGGUGAAAUCCCCGAGCUUAACUUGGGAACUGCCAUUGAUACUAUCAGUCUUGAAUACUGUGGAGGCUAGCGGAAUAUGUCAUGUAGCGGUGAAAUGCUUAGAUAUGACAUAGAACACCAAUUGCGAAGGCAGCUGGCUACACAAAUAUUGACACUGAGGUACGAAAGCGUGGGGAUCAAACAGGAUUAGAUACCCUGGUAGUCCACGCCCUAAACGAUGGAUACUCGACAUUUGCGAUACACAGCAAGUGUCUGAGCGAAAGCAUUAAGUAUCCCACCUGGGAAGUACGAUCGCAAGAUUGAAACUCAGAAUUGGCGGGGGUCCGCACAAGCGG
rnacentral:rRNA from 1 species